rnacentral:rRNA from 1 species
GUGAGGAAUAUUGGUCAAUGGACGAGAGUCUGAACCAGCCAAGUCGCGUGAAGGAAGACGGUUCUAUGAAUUGUAAACUUCUUUUGUGCAGGAAUAAAGUGGGUUACGUGUAACCUUUUGUAUGUACUGUACGAAUAAGGAUCGGCUAACUCCGUGCCAGCAGCCGCGGUAAUACGGAGGAUCCGAGCGUUAUCCGGAUUUAUUGGGUUUAAAGGGUGCGUAGGUGGAUUGAUAAGUCAGCGGUGAAAGUUUGCAGCUUAACUGUAAAAUUGCCGUUGAAACUGUCGGUCUUGAGUGCAAAUGAGGUAGGCGGAAUGUGUUGUGUAGCGGUGAAAUGCUUAGAUAUAACACAGAACUCCGAUUGCGAAGGCAGCUUACUGGGAUGCAACUGACACUGAUGCACGAAAGCGUGGGUAUCAAACAGGAUUAGAAACCCCAGUAGUCC